ACGAUUGACGGAGCGGAGCGACGUGAAAGCGUUUUACAACGUUGAGUUGGCUUAGGGAUACGUUCGUUGGGUAGGGGAGCGUUCUGUAAGCCUGCGAAGGUGUGCUGUGAGGCAUGCUGGAGAUAUCAGAAGUGCGAAUGCUGACAUAAGUAACGAUAAAGCGGGUGAAAAGCCCGCUCGCCGGAAGACCAAGGGUUCCUGUCCAACGUUAAUCGGGGCAGGGUGAGUCGACCCCUAAGGCGAGGCCGAAAGGCGUAGUCGAUGGGAAACGGGUUAAUAUUCCCGUACUUGGUGUUACUGCGAAGGGGGGACGGAGAAGGCUAUGUUGGCCGGGCGACGGUUGUCCCGGUUUAAGCGUGUAGGUGUGUGUUCCAGGUAAAUCCGGUUCACUUUAACACUGAGGCGUGAUGACGAGGCACUACGGUGCUGAAGCAACAAAUGCCCUGCUUCCAGGAAAAGCCUCUAAGCAUCAGGUAACACGAAAUCGUACCC
rnacentral:rRNA from 1 species